rnacentral:rRNA from 1 species
GGGGAAUAUUGCACAAUGGGCGGAAGCCUGAUGCAGCGACGCCGCGUGAGGGAUGACGGCCUUCGGGUUGUAAACCUCUUUCAGCAGGGACGAAGCGCAAGUGACGGUACCUGCAGAAGAAGCGCCGGCCAACUACGUGCCAGCAGCCGCGGUAAGACGUAGGGCGCGAGCGUUGUCCGGAUUUAUUGGGCGUAAAGAGCUCGUAGGCGGCUUGUCGCGUCGACUGUGAAAACCCGCGGCUCAACUGCGGGCCUGCAGUCGAUACGGGCAGGCUAGAGUUCGGUAGGGGAGACUGGAAUUCCUGGUGUAGCGGUGAAAUGCGCAGAUAUCAGGAGGAACACCGGUGGCGAAGGCGGGUCUCUGGGCCGAUACUGACGCUNAGGAGCGAAAGCGUGGGGAGCGAACAGGAUUAGAUACCCUGGUAGUCCACGCUGUAAACGUUGGGCGCUAGGUGUGGNGGGCCUCUCCGGUUCUCUGUGCCGCAGCUAACGCAUUAAGCGCCCCGCCUGGGGAGUACGGCCGCAAGGCUAAAACUCAAAGGAAUUGACGGGGGCCCGCACAAGCGGCGGAGCAUGCGGAUUAAUUCGAUGCAACGCGNAAGAACCUUACCUGGGUUUGACAUGGCCGCAAAACCGGC